rnacentral:rRNA from 1 species
UACGAAGGGGGCUAGCGUUGUUCGGAAUCACUGGGCGUAAAGGGCGCGUAGGCGGCUUUAUAAGUCGGGGGUGAAAGCCUGUGGCUCAACCACAGAAUUGCCUUCGAUACUGUAGAGCUUGAGACCGGAAGAGGUAAGUGGAACUGCGAGUGUAGAGGUGAAAUUCGUAGAUAUUCGCAAGAACACCAGUGGCGAAGGCGGCUUACUGGUCCGGUUCUGACGCUGAGGCGCGAAAGCGUGGUGAGCAAACAGG